rnacentral:lncRNA from 1 species
UGGAUGGAAAUGCAAAUAUUUAUGUAUAUGCCAGAUGGAGGCUUUAGUUGUCAUUAAUUUCCAGAAAAUAACUUUUGAAAAUCAACAAACUUUGAGAGAUUAUAUGAAAAAAAACUGCUAACAAGAGAAAAAGGAGAUGAACGAUGUCUUUUUUAUACAGGUUAUGAUCCGCUCAUAUUAUAGAUGAAAGAGUAUGCAGAUAGAUGUGGCAAGAUCGGGGGUUUGGGGAG